ACUGCUUCUUGGCCUUUUGGCUAAGAUCAAGUGUAGUAUAUGUAUAUUUAUAGCAUAUAUAUUAUAGUUUAU
ensembl:snRNA U2 U2 spliceosomal RNA